rnacentral:rRNA from 1 species
UACGUAGGAGGCGAGCGUUGUCCGGAAUUACUGGGCGUAAAGAGCGCAUAGGCGGCGCGGUACGACGGGUGUGAAAGCCCCCGGCCCAACUGGGGAGGGUCAUCCGUAACGGCCGUGCGCUGAGUGCAGGAGAGGGAAGUGGAACUCCGGGAGUAGCGGUGAAAUGCGUAGAGACCCGGAGGAACACCAGUGGCGAAGGCGGCUUCCUGGUCUGCGACUGACGCUGUGGCGCGAAAGCUAGGGGAGCAAACGGG